AGAGGGUGAGGGUCGCUGUUGGUGAAUGACUGGGCGUAAAGCGCGCGUAGGCGGGCUGGAAAGUUGGGGGUGAAAUCCCGGGGCUCAACCCCGGAAUGGCCUUCAAAACUCCCAGCUUAGAGUUCGAGAGAGGUGAGUGGAAUUCCGAGUGUAGAGGUGAAAUUCGUAGAUAUUCGGAGGAACACCAGUGGCGAAGGCGGCUCACUGGCUCGACACUGACGCUGAGGUGCGAAAGCGUGGGGAGCAAACAGG
rnacentral:rRNA from 1 species